AUUUAAGAGAAAACUAGAAAUGGGACCAUCAGAAGAACAAGUGUCAUUUGAUUUAUAUAUGGUUUCCUAUAAUUGUGAAUACAUUCACUUUGGUUGCCUUGGUUUAUAUCACGUCAUAUAUUAUUUGUAAUAUAAAUUUAAGCAAUAUAGAGGCAAAUCCUACGAGGUUGUCUCCAUUGGUACUGUUCUGAUCCCAGGAUGGUGAGUCAAAGAUGAUUAUCAGAAUCUAUAGCAGCUGAUCUAGGCCUUGUAUCUGAACUACUGGACUGCCCUAAUCAAAGACUGCUAAAGAGGAUGAGACACCUCAGAAGAUGACAUGCCUCUUUGACAGAAAAUUUACCCUCACAGGAGCACAGAUGUCUCUGAAAAUUGUCAGCAAUAGAAAAGAGUAAAAAACAAGAAGAACUGGAUGAAUGCAAAGACUUCUUUUGUUUUAAACAAGCUUGAAAAGUCUUGCAGAAGUAUUGCCAUUAAAAUUAUUUCAGGGGAUCCCUGGGUGGCGCAGCGGUUUAGCGAUGAGACCCGGAAUCGAAUCCCACGUCAAGCUCCCUGCAUGGAGCCUGCUUUUCCCUCUGCCUAUGUCUCUCCCUCUCUCUCUCUCUCUCUCUCUCUCUGUGACUAUCAUGAGCAAAUAAAUAAAAUCUUUUU
rnacentral:lncRNA from 1 species